rnacentral:lncRNA from 1 species
AUGAUCCUACCCUGUACUAUUCCUCUAUGCACCAAAUUCCUCUCUCUGCAUUUUCAAAAUUUGAAUUCCUGAAUGAAAAGAGAGGAGAGGAAGACAGAGAGAGAAUGAGAAAUAUAGAGAGAGAGGCGAUGGAGAAGGAGAGAUGACGGCAUGAGAAACCCUAAAUUACAAAAUCGUUCAGAUCUUGAAGGAUUUCCGAUACGAAACCUUUGUUAGGGGGCUACAAUCGAAUGGACAAAAGGUUGAGAGGCAUCGAUUUUGUCAUAAUCGAGAGAAGGAUGAACGGGCAGCGACGAACUGGGUUUCGACAGGAGUUUUAAGGGUAAGUUUUUAUUGAGUUUUCUUUUGCUUUUUGGCUCGAUUGAAGCCCUAAUUUGUUGUUAUUUUCUGCUUUGGUUUUGAUUUCAAUGAUGGAUGUUUGAUUUGAGGAUUUGGAAAGGCAUAGCAAGUGUUUGACGAAAUAUAACUUCAAGGGUUAAACGGGUGACGAUGACACAAUCACGAAGUAGACCUAGGUGAUCGGAAUAGUAUGGUUAUCUCCAGCUUGCCCUGCAACCAAGACACUUCGUGAUAUUGCAUGGGGUAAGAUAACCCAAGUGAUUUGGACGUUGGAUGUGGAGUUGCAAGCUUUAGGGAAUAUCUUUUUGAGAUAGACGUGGUUGCAUUUCGUUUGCUCCAAAGGAUGAACAUGAAGCUAAAGGAAUUUGCACUAGAAAGAGGAUGACGGGCUACUGUAUACAACGUGUGGGAGUCCUAUCUAUGUUGCUCCUGGGAUUCUUUCCAACAGGGGAUAUGAUGGCGCAACAUCAGAUGCAAGAAAUCUUGCAGUUCUAUCAGGUAUUUUUAAAGGGAUGUACAGAUGCUGAAGUGGUCACCUUCAGGAGUGGGAGCUUAGGCUGUGCCUCCAGGUCAGCCCACACAGCUGGCAGCUUUCCGAAUCGGACUUCGACAUUAGCUUGUGUGUGCAUCUUCGAGGUCUUGUAUGUUCUCAACACACUCAUGCAGACAUUUCAAAAUAAAGUGCUUGCUCCUGCUGUCACAAGUUAGAUAAAAUGGUUUAACGAUGUAUUAUGGACCUAUCGUAACAUUUAUAUUUUCAUGGUCAUAUCAAUGGUCAAGAUCCAACUCUUGAUUCUCUUGUUAAGUUGACAAGCCUUUUGAU